rnacentral:tRNA from 1 species
GGGAUAUUAAACAACUCGAAAGCAACGCAAAAGGUAGAGCAGUUGACUUUUAAUCAAUUGGUCGCAGGUUCGAAUCCUGCACGACCCACCA